rnacentral:lncRNA from 1 species
CAGAUAUGGAAAAAGAACAAAAUACUCUGGAUAGUACAGAGAAUUUUCCUGGAGCCAUAGAAGUCCAGCAGUGGGAAUUGAGAAAAACAUCGAACACUGUUGCUCCUGGUGUCAAUGUAUUAUUUUUAGCACCACCAACAUCUUCGGAUGACGAAGAGUAUAGAGGAGGAAAAAGAGGAGGCGCUAUUACUAAGCGAAAGCCUCCAUUAUUGCUCCAGGUAUCCUUCUUCAUCCUAGGCAGGCUGGUUCAGACCAUUCACCACUGGGGCAGGACCACCUGCUGUGUCCAGGUUGUGUCCCAGGCUCGAACCCAAACAUGAGAGCCGCAAGCUGGCCCCAACAAUUUGCUGUCCCACCCAGGGCCAGGGAAAGGCAGAGGACACUGGAAGAAACACUGCUGGUUUGGAGCUCCAUGGACGAAGAAAAGAAUUAACUGGUUCACAC